UACGGGGGGAGCAAGCGUUGUUCGGAUUUACUGGGCGUAAAGGGCGCGUAGGCGGCCUCCGCAAGUCAGUUGUGAAAUCUCCGAGCUUAACUCGGAAAGGUCAACUGAUACUGCGGGGCUAGAGUGCGGAAGGGGCAACUGGAAUUCUUGGUGUAGCGGUGAAAUGCGUAGAGAUCGGGAGGAACACCGGUGGCGAAGGCGGGUCUCUGGGCAAUUCCUGACGCUGAGGCGCGAAAGCGUGGGGAGCAAACGGG
rnacentral:rRNA from 1 species